GAUGAACGCUGGCGGCGUGCCUAACACAUGCAAGUCGAACGGAGUCCAGCCUUUAAGACCUUCGGGUCAAAGAGGGGAAGACUGAGUGGCGGACGGGUGAGUAACACGUGGGCAACCUGGCUCAUAGAGGGGGAUAACAGAGAGAAAUUUCUGCUAAUACCGCAUAAGCACACACUGCCGCAUGGCAGAGGGUGAAAAGAGAAUCGCUAUGAGAUGGACCCGCGUCUGAUUAGCCAGUUGGCAGGGUAAGAGCCUACCAAAGCGACGAUCAGUAGCCGAUCUGAGAGGAUGAACGGCCACAUUGGGACUGAGACACGGCCCAAACUCCUACGGGAGGCAGGAGUGGGGGAUAUUGCACAAUGGGGGGAACCCUGAUGCAGCGACGCCGCGUGAGUGAAGAAGUAUUUCGGUAUGUAAAGCUCUAUCAGCAGGGAAGAUAAUGACAGUACCUGAAUAAGAAGCCCCGGCUAACUACGUG
rnacentral:rRNA from 1 species